rnacentral:misc_RNA from 1 species
GAGAGCCAAUCCCUUAUAAUGGGUUUUAAUAAGAAGGAUUUUGGGACUUUGGGGGGAUAUAGAAGUGCCUUAUGGCGCAUUAAUGAAACCCAUUUAAGAGAAAUUCAUCUAGCUAGUGGGUAGUGCAUGAAACUGCCCUGCGAUUCCUUGAGACAUGCUAGCUUUUUGAUGGGGGAUUUGCCCUCAACUUAUCAUAUUUGCUACCAUGGCUAGAGUUUCUAUUCCAGUCAUCUCUUUCAUGACCCCUUUUCCUCCCUAGAACUGCAUCUUGCAAUUGCUGUUUUCAAGUGACCCAGUUACUUUACCCAUGAGCAAAAUAGCUCACAUGCAGCUCCAUUCACCACGUCUGAUUAACUUGGCCCAUUUUUCCCGCCCUUCCAUUUGGGAUAGUUCCAUUCUCAAAGGGCGGAAACUUUUCCUUCGUCAGAAGAUUUCCUCGACAAUUCAAGGGAUUUCUCGCUGAAGGGAUCGCUCACUGACCUUGAUAGCAGGGAAGAAUCCGAAUCUCGAGAGACAUUGAAUGAUCUUUUACAGUGAAGAAUGGCGCUCUGGAUCCCAUCCUGCUGCUGCAACAGCGAAUCAUCUCUCCUCCUUGACAUCACCGGAGCCGAUGGAGCCGCCGCGACCGCGGAGGCUGAUCGGCUUUUCCCUAAAUGUUUACACACAAUUCUCAGCCCCGUUGGCAAGUUUCCUUGUUUCACGCUCUUCGCAUUACUCACUGGAGGCGCUUCUGCACUUUCUGUCUCUGGUUGCCUCUUCUCGGCUGACAACGUUGAUUUCGACAGUGAAGAUUUAUGAGCCGCAGCUUCCGCUGAAGCUGGCGGCGGAGGACGAGCCGAUGCAUUUAGUCCAGAGCCUAAGCUCAGUUGACCGGAGAAUCUCAGUUUCUCGGCAUACCGUUUUGAAAUGCGAAUGUAAAGAGGCUUCACCUUCUUCAAGUAUCUCUGCAUUACGUCUUUCGAAAACCGCUUCUCAUCUGAAGCUGCGGAAGUGGAGGCGGCAGUUUCCUCUGUAUUAUUCUGCUUCUGAGAGGACUUGACGCUUUUACUGUUGUCUCUAGUGAAGAGGGAAACUAUAGGGACCUCCUCUACCUUGAACUUGACGGUGAAAAACUUGCUCUGUUUGGUCGCUUCCUCUCCUUUCUCUUCUUGCUUCUGCUGUUGUUGUUUGGGAGUAGGAGAUGCGGCAGAUUCAUUAGCUUCUGCUACUUUCUCAGUUUCGUUCAUUUUCGAUUUCUUGAACCCCAACAUGAAGACUCUUAACUUGGUGGCAGAUUUUAAGAAAGAAGCAGGGAACUGGGGCUUCGAAUUAGGCUCCAAGCCAUUUACAACCAGAGAAGAGGACUCGAUUGGGACAAGUCUCCCUUUGAAAAACAAAUCAUCAGAAGGUGAAAGUGUCAGAUUUUGAUCCACACGAUCGUUGCUAGAACCAGAAGAAAUGGUGAAGUUGAACUCCCCCUCCCCGUCUGUAUCUUCCCCAUCAUCCUCAUCGUUAUCUUCCUCAGAAACAUCUCCAUUACCCUCAUUCUUCUCUUCUCCCUCUUCUCCUUCGUUGUCGUCGGGUACAGCGAACUCCAAGUCAAAAAAGGGCCCGUCAUCGUCGUCAUCAUCGUCGGUUUCAACCGCGUUCUGGGCAAGAGCAGUGACGAUAGUAGUGGGGCGUGUAACACCGGUGUCUCCAGCGCCAACAAUGACACCCCCACCGCCGCCGCCCCUCCAGUAUUUGAGCAAGCUAAAAGCUUCCAUGGUUGGGAGAGCCAGCCCAGAAUAAUGCAGCAGAAAAAAGUUCGAAGCAGUAAAUAGGUUGAUGUAAAAAGAGAGAAAGGAAGGUUUGAUUGAGUGCUCAGUAGAAUGGGAGUACCGAUAAUGGGGUGACAGAGUUAGCAGAGAGAAACGGGUAAGCUUUUUUUC